UGGAGCGAGUGGUCGCAUCUGCACGUCGCUCCAACGGAAACCAAACAAAAAGAGAAUUGAACCUAAUUUGACAUCAUAACUGGAAUUGGACAUCUUCCUUGCUGAAUAUUGAAGACAGCUGUUGUAUGCUAACUACAUACUGUUGGAAGAGGGAGUGGGGCGGAUAAGAGAGUGGAGAGGAUGAUGAGGUAGUGGGGAGCUCCUCUGUCAGAAACCACUUGAAGCACUCUGCCUCAUAUGGAAAUGGCAAGGGACUUUGCACUCCAGACUGGGACUCAUCAGAACCAACAGCAAGGCCAGGAGGGGUGAAACGGCUGCUUUGCUUUCCAGCUACCUCAGACCCUCCGUACUUCACCCACUGUUGGUCUGCCUCCAUCACCACCAGGGACCUGGGACUUUGUCGGUUGGCAAGGGGUUCUCGCUUUCAGGGUUCUCAAAGUCUACAAGGCUGGAGAGCAUCUCAUCACUGUCACUGUCAGCAUCUAAUUCCUCACUUUCACACUCAGACUUGAAUUUCCAAAAAUUUCCACAUUUGUGAGUUGUCUUUGGAAAGACAUUGCUAAUGCUACAGCUUAGGCCACUAGCUACAUACAUAAACAACAACACUGAGUGACUGUCAGGGGGAUGUGAUUGGGUGCCAGUGUGGUGAUACUGAUGAUUUGGCCCCACAGAUGGUUUGUUUACAUAGCAGGUUAGAACAAUUAACGUGGCAGGUUAGGUGAAUUAACGUGGUAGGUUAGGAGAACUCACACAGCAGGUUAGGCUAAUUGACAUAGGAGGUUAAGAGAAUAAAGUUAAGGUUAGAAAAAGGGUAGGCUUAGCUACAAUGCUACAGUUGUCAACAAUGUUAUUGAUGUUAUAGCAAACGAGGUGAAGGGAUGGUUCACUCAUCUUCGAGUAAACUAACGGAAGUGAAUGAUGGAGAGUAAAUGAUGGUAGACGACGCACCCCCUUUGAAUUCAACAGACCCAACUCAUCUUGUCACCUCGUCUUUGGUUGACGCGGAUAAACAAACAUGGCGGCGGCACAAACUCUACCCACUGUCGGAUUACUUUUCGACAUUUAGAAAGAGAUGGACUAAAUAAUUUAGUUCACUGGUGAGCUCACCCCUCAUGUGAUAAAUUGUAAAUAGUAAUUGCUAUUAGCUAAUUCGUAUUAUGGUUUCUGUCAGCCGAGAGUUAACUAAAUAUGACUGCUUGUAUUAACUCACUCGUACCUCAGGUAGUGCUAGGACUAAUGUAGUCUACAUUUUUAGAUUGGGAUGAGAAUUGUUUUAUGCGGUUGCUACUUCUGUGAAUGUCUGAACAUCUGCAUCCAAACAUGAACUUCUCACAUCCAGGACAUAUAGCUGUAAAGACUGUGUUUGUGAAAAAUGUUUCUGUGACAAAACAGUGUAGCCAGCUCAAAAACGCUGACUGUUCUAAUCGCACAGGAGUGUUCUAAUCACACAGGAGUGUUCUAAUCACACAGGAGUGUUCUAAUCACACAGGAGUGUUCUAAUCACACAGGAGUGUGCUAAUCACAUAGGAGUGUUCUAAUCACACAGGAGUG